AUGUGGUGAAAGACAUGGGUAGUGAGACGCUUUUUAUAGGUCGUGUCACUAUUCUGUUUUUCGCCUCAUU
rfam:Enterobius vermicularis genome assembly, scaffold: EVEC_scaffold0004892